GGGACCGACCUCCCACCUCAUGGACUACCAAAUGAACCGAUCUGGAAAUGAGAACUCCGGCCAAGCUCUGGCCACUAUAACUCUGAACGCGGUGCCAACCUUGGCUUAUGAGGAUGUCAACCCAACCGCUGACCCACAUCAGAUACAGGCCCAGCAGGGACCCCGUAGAGGGAGAAGCCGAGGCCGAGGUUUUGCACCUAGAAAUAGGUCGAAUACGAGCCUCCCUGGAUACUGUUUGCACCA
rnacentral:lncRNA from 1 species